GCUUACGGCCACCCGCCUUGGUUCACGCCCGAUCUCGUUUGAUCUCGGAAGCUAAGAUAGGUUGGGCCUGGUUAGUACUUGGAUGGGAGACCGCCUGGGAAUACCAGGUGCUGUGCUUU
rnacentral:rRNA from 1 species